AUGAGCAUCACUAGGAAGGUGAAACCCAGCGGGGCAAUCAGAGGAGACUCUGGCCUGGAGAUGCGAUGGUGCCAGCCCACUCAGGCCAGACUGAAUGCAGAGUUUCUGGAGGGAGGCACAAGCAAGUGCUUGGAGCUACGAGGAGACCCCCUGCCCACUGUGAGCAACCAGGUGCUCUGCUGGAUGUCCCUUUGUCUCCUGGGAGCAGGCUCCAUGGAUGGUGGAAUCACCCAGAGCCCAAAAUACGUGUCCAAAGAGGAAGGACAAGUUGUGAUCCUGGAUUGUGAAAAGAAUUUUAAUUCUGACUCUACAUACUGGUACCGACAGGAUCCAGGGCAGGGGCUGAGACUGAUCUACUACUCAAAGGUUGUAAAUAAUACUGAGAAAGGAGACAUAUCUGAAGGCUACAGUGCCUCUCGGGAGGAGAAGGCAUUCUUUCCUCUCACUGCGACAUCAACCCAAAAGAAUCAGAUAGCCCUGUAUCUCUGUGCCAGUAGUAGAGACACAGUGUUAGUGGAGCAUAAGAAGUAA